rnacentral:tRNA from 1 species
GAUAAGGUGGCUGAAUUUUAGGCUAUAAAUUGUAAAUUUAUAUAUGGUUUUAUAAACCUCUUAUCA